ACAGGCCCGCAGGAAAGCGAGCCCCGGACGACGGAGCCGUACCCGGUAGUGCGACAAGACGGCCAGC
rnacentral:ncRNA from 1 species